UUGUAGGUUUUGGUUCACAAGAAAACUGUAGAGCUAUGUUGUCGUGUGGAGAGUUAAGGAAAAUAAUUUUUUGAAACCCCACAUGGCUCUCACAUCAUGGAUUUAAGUUGACUCCCCCUGAAAUAGUGAAGUCAUUCGCAUGGUGGCCAUGUCUUAAGACUGACGUCAAGCCCUUGGUGCACACAAAACCUUACGGAGCAACACCAUUUAAUCAGAAUUCCGGAUAGGUAUCGAGAUUUGGAGUCCCUCAGACCAUACACUCAUAUCAGGAAGCUCUAUUUACCGUAUCCCUAUCGAAACGCUUGGGGCAACUCCUAGGUUCGAGUUUCCAAUUCACCACCUGGUAUUACCUUGGGUUUAAUGGGAUUAAUAAGAGAUUUAAUAACACUUUGAAGACUUAUCUCGCUUUAAGAAUAAACCAGGAAAGUGAUGUUUGGGUAGACGUUCUUCCAUUUGUAAUGUUGAACAUUCGUUCUAUCAUCCCAGUUAUUCCAUACGCAACAUUUUCUCCAAUGCAAUGUGUCUUAGGUUCAGUUCCGAGGCUACCGUUAUUGUUAAUCAAAGGCACUGGUGCUCCCAACGAUACGAGAUCAUUGGGAGCUUCAAUGAGAUGAAACAGAAUCCACCAAGAGUUAUCCCCGAGCCUCCAGCGAGAGUGAGAGCCCCAUUGGAAGCUCUUAAGAAGUCGAGUUAUGUUUUGGACAGAAACCCAUCGCUGCCUCCUACAUAUUUGGGCCCUUUUAAAGUCUUGUCUAAGUCGGACAGAACCUUAGUCUGGACAUGGGAUCGACCACUUGAAACAGGAUUUCAAAGUUAGGGGCUCUCUAACUGCGUUUAAUAAUUGUAUACUUUUUUAAUCCAUAUUUCGUUUUACCUUACUUAUUUAAUCGAAUAUAACUCAUUUUAUAAUCGGUUUUUGUUUAAACAUAAAUUAAUUUGUCGUAAUUGACGCAGACUCAUGGGGGCAUAUUAUAGGACUUUUAAGACAAGACAGUUUGUGAUCCUUUUUAUGUUAUUGAAGAACUUUGGUAAAAUACAUUCAGUUUAUGUUAGUAAA
rnacentral:lncRNA from 1 species